UACGUAGGGCGCAAGCGUUGUCCGGAAUUAUUGGGCGUAAAGAGCUCGUAGGCGGUUUGUCGCGUCUGCUGUGAAAGCCCGGGGCUCAACCCCGGGUCUGCAGUGGGUACGGGCAGACUAGAGUGCAGUAGGGGGGAGAAUUCGAUUCGUGGUGUAGGCGGUGAAAAUGCGCAGAUAUCAGGAGGAACACCGAUGGCGAAGGCAGGUCUCUGGGCUGUUACUGACGCUGAGGAGCGAAAAGCAUGGGGAGCGAACAGGAUUAGAUACCCCGUAGUCC
rnacentral:rRNA from 1 species